AGCGGCCUGCGGCCGAUUAAUUAUUCCUAGUUGGUGAGGUAAUGGCUCACCAAGGGUACGAUCGGUAGCUGGUCUGAGAGGAUGAUCAGCCACACUGGAACUGAGACACGGUCCAGACUCCUACGGGAGGCAGCAGUGGGGAAUAUUGCGCAAUGGGCGAAAGCCUGACGCAGCCACGCCGCGUGAAGGAUGACGGUCUUCGGAUUGUAAACUUCUGUCGGGGAGGGGAAGAAAGGGGGCAAACCCCUGACGGUACCUCGCAAGAAAGCACCGGCUAACUCUGUGCCAGCAGCCGCGGUAAUACAGAGGGUGCAAGCGUUGCUCGGAAUUACUGGGCGUAAAGCGUGCGCAGACGGCAAGGCAGGUCGGGUGUGAAAGCCCUGGGCUCAACCCAGGAAUUGCAUUCGAAACCAUCUCGCUCGAGUAUGGGAGAGGGGAGCGGAAUUCCUGGUGUAGAGGUGAAAUUCGUAGAUAUCAGGAG
rnacentral:rRNA from 1 species